rnacentral:rRNA from 1 species
ACCCUUAGAUGUUCUGGGCCGCACGCGUGCUACACUGAGUGGAUCAGCGGGUCAGGUUGCGCGAAAGUGUUUCCUAAUCUUGAAAUCCGCUCGUGAUGGGGAUUGACGGUUGCAAUUUUCCGUCAUGAACGAGGAAUACCUUGUAAGCGCGGGUCAUCAUCCCGCGCUGAAUACGUCCCUGCCCUUUGUACACACCGCCCGUCGCUCCUACCGACUGAGUGGUCCGGUGAGGCUUUGGGAUCUGAGCAAAAAGAGCGUUUCGCUCGUUUGGCUCGGAAAACUCAGUCGAACCUUAUCAUUUAGAGGAAGGAGAAGUCGUAACA